GCCAGGUAUGGUGACGUGUGCCUGUAGUCCAAGCUACUUGGGAGGCUGAGGCAAGAGGAUUGCUUGAGCCUGGGAGGUCGAGGCUGCAGUGAGCCAUGAUCGUGCCACUGCAUUCCAGCCUGGGUGACAGAGUAAGACCCUGUCUCAA
rnacentral:SRP_RNA from 1 species